GAUUGAACGCUGGCGGCAGGCCUAACACAUGCAAGUCGAACGGUAACAGGAAGAAGCUUGCUUCUUUGCUGACGAGUGGCGGACGGGUGAGUAAUGUCUGGGAAACUGCCUGAUGGAGGGGGAUAACUACUGGAAACGGUAGCUAAUACCGCAUAACGUCGCAAGACCAAAGAGGGGGACCUUCGGGCCUCUUGCCAUCGGAUGUGCCCAGAUGGGAUUAGCUAGUAGGUGGGGUAACGGCUCACCUAGGCGACGAUCCCUAGCUGGUCUGAGAGGAUGACCAGCCACACUGGAACUGAGACACGGUCCAGACUCCUACGGGAGGCAGCAGUGGGGAAUAUUGCACAAUGGGCGCAAGCCUGAUGCAGCCAUGCCGCGUGUAUGAAGAAGGCCUUCGGGUUGUAAAGUACUUUCAGCGGGGAGGAAGGGAGUAAAGUUAAUACCUUUGCUCAAUGACGUUACCCGCAGAAGAAGCACCGGCUAACUCCGUG
rnacentral:rRNA from 1 species